rnacentral:rRNA from 1 species
CCUAAUAGAAACCCAAAAACGAAAGUUACUCUAAUUAACCUCUUGAAUACACGACAGUUUGGGCACAAACUGGGAUUAGAUACCCCACUAUGCCACACCGUAAAUUUGAACUACACUUAAAACGCCAGGGUACUACGAGCCGAGCUUAAAACCCAAAGGAUUUGACGGUGUUCCACCCAACUAGAGGAGCCUGUUCUAUAAUCGAUGAUCCACGAUAUACCUAACCAUUUUUUGCUAUUCAGCCUGUAUACCUCCGUCGUAAGCUUACCGCUUGAGUGAGGAAAAGUAAGCAAAAGGACCUAAAGCCAAAACGUCAGGUCAAGGUGCAGCUUAUAAAAUGGAAGAAAUGAGCUACAAUUUCUAAUUUAGAAUACACGAAUUACUGCAUGAAACAAAGUCAUGAAGGUGGAUUUAGCAGUAAGUGAGGAAUAGAGAGCCUCACUUAAUUCGGCCCUGGAACGUGUACAAACCGCCCGUCACCCUCUUCGAUAGCUUCAUUAAUAGUUAAAUAACCUAUUUACCGCGUUUUAGAAGAGGCAAGUCGUAACAUGGUAAGCAUACUGGAAAGUGUUCUUGGAAUAA